rnacentral:rRNA from 1 species
CCCGCCGGCGACCGGCGCACGGGUGAGUAACACGUAUGAAACCUGUCCGUAGCAGGGGGAUAAGCGGAAGAAAUUCCGUCUAAUACCGCGUAACAACCCAUGGAGGCAUCUCUGUGGGUUUAAAGGAAGCGAUUCCGGCUACGGAUGGUCAUGCGUCGCAUUAGCUUGUUGGCGGGGUAACGGCCCACCAAGGCGACGAUGCGUAGGGGUUCUGAGAGGAAGGUCCCCCACACUGGUACUGAGACACGGACCAGACUCCUACGGGAGGCAGCAG